rnacentral:misc_RNA from 1 species
AGGGUUUGACAUCCUUGGAAUUACUAUGAAAGUAGUGAGUGCUUUAUUGAACCAAGUGACAGAUGUUGCAUGGCCGUCGUCAGCUCGUGUCGUGAGAUGUUUGGUUAAGUCCAUCAACGAGCGCAACCCUUGCAAGUAGUUGUAUUUUUCUACUUGGACUGCCCCGGUAACGGGGAGGAAGGUGGGGAUGACGUCAGAGAGUACGUCC